rnacentral:rRNA from 1 species
AAAUUGAAGAGUUUGAUCAUGGCUCAGAUUGAACGCUGGCGGCAGGCCUAACACAUGCAAGUCGAACGGUAACAGGAAGCAGCUUGCUGCUUUGCUGACGAGUGGCGGACGGGUGAGUAAUGUCUGGGAAACUGCCUGAUGGAGGGGGAUAACUACUGGAAACGGUGGCUAAUACCGCAUAACGUCGCAAGACCAAAGAGGGGGACCUUCGGGCCUCUUGCCAUCAGAUGUGCCCAGAUGGGAUUAGCUUGUUGGUGAGGUAACGGCUCACCAAGGCGACGAUCCCUAGCUGGUCUGAGAGGAUGACCAGCCACACUGGAACUGAGACACGGUCCAGACUUCUACGGGAGGCAGCAGUGGGGAAUAUUGCACAAUGGGCGCAAGCCUGAUGCAGCCAUGCCGCGUGUAUGAAGAAGGCCUUCGGGUUGUAAAGUACUUUCAGCGGGGAGGAAGGUGUUGUGGUUAAUAACC